CUAAUUGGUCUCAUGGCAAAAAAAGGGUAAAAAAAUAUGGCGGAGAUGUUAAAGGCGGAUGGGAAUUAUGGUUCACAAAAUGAAAAGUAGGGAUGAUGAACAAGAGAGAAACUAGACAUCCAAGAAUCGGAUAGUUAUAAUAACACGCUUUUUUAUUUGAGAUAAUUGGCUCAUAAACAACCGAUCUAAGGGUAUUAAAAUUUUCUGUUUUAUCUUUUUGAACACAUGACAAUGUUAAUUUCAGCCCAUUUUUUUGCCCUCUUUACCCUCACACGAGAGAAUAGACGCUUGGAUUAACUUUAUUUCUCUUCAUCUUCAUCCCUUCUUUUCUUUCUCUAAAAACUCUUACUCCCAUCGUCUUCCAACUCGGUAAGCCGGAGGGUAGAUAAAUCUGCAGAGGCUUACCAUGAUACUUCAACGUUUUUCUACACGAAGUUUUGUUUCUCGAUUUCGAUGGCUGAUAUGGAUCUUCUUUCUCGUUUAUUUGCCGACGGAGAAGAACCUGCCGGUGAUCGUGUCAUCGUGAACUUAAAGCUCAAUAUGAUCAAAGCCGUUCUCAAGGCUUUACAACCCUCCGAGAUCGAUGAAUUUGAUGAUGAUAUUUUGAUCUUCGUCACUGUUAGAUGCAAUCUCACUAGUGAUAAGGUUAUCACUUUGGGUAAACAUGUCUCAAUUAGUUAAGGAAUUUAUAGUUAUCUAUAGAUUUAAGUACAUAUUCAUACACUUUUAUAGAAUCAUAUAUUGAACUAUAUAGUGCUAUAUUUAUUAAUAGAUAUCUACGCAAUUAGGUUAGUGGUUUAAAAUUUUUAAUUUUCGCCUAUACGUUUUCGUUACAGAUUCAAAUUAAAGUCGGUUUCAUUUAAUAUUUGUCACUUCGCUCUGUUUAUUGUCGCCUAAUACUCAUUCCAACUGUUGAACAUUUAUUAAAUGUCAGACUGUUCUUUCGGUUGGUCGUAAGACCAUGUA